rnacentral:misc_RNA from 1 species
CGUCGUGAGACAGGUUAGUUUUACCCUACUGUCUCUUUAGCGCUGUGACAGUAGUCCUGCUUAGUACGAGAGGACCCGCAGGACCGGAUAAACUGUGUUUAUUUGCUGACACGCAAGUGAACAAUGUACAGUGACUAUGCGACAACGGUUGUACGUAAUUGUGUACGUGU